GCUUUAACGGGUUCAAGUCUGAUCCCACACAGAAUUACUCUACUAUCUCUCGUCUUGGAAUCAUGCUUCGCUCCGGCCUUGACCUCUACAGUUUCCACCGGUAGCGGCUUCACUUNNNNNNNNNNNGCUCCUCCGGUUCGUGUAUGAGCUCCUGGUGGAGUCGAGUGAAGUGAAGUGAUUUCUCUGCAAUCCUUGAAUCGAAUAUGUCGCAAUCAGGGUAUGAUAUUAAUGUUCUGUUU
rnacentral:misc_RNA from 1 species